UUGUUAAAUGUUUGUGGACACCAGACCAUUUUUUCUGUGUUAACUCGCUAGCUCUGUGUCAAUGAGGAGACGUUGGAGAUGUUAUGAACACUCGGCACUGGUGAUAAAUUUAGCCAGGGGUAAUCUGCUAUCCUGGGUGUUAGUAGCAGCUGCUACUGCCUAAAUGAAAUCUUAUCUCAGAUCUCUCUCGCUUUCUCUCAGAUAAAAAAAAGCUGUAAUGAAAAACAUCUUUGUAGUCGAUUAUCUUAAUCUCCUACUGACAAUGUUAGAAGAACCUGAAAUGGAUAUAAAUGUAUUUUUGGCAUGUUCUGGCCUCAUAACAUUGAACACUUUUCCCUGAUGAGAUCUCUCUCUGUUUUUUUCUCCAGCAUGUUUUUAAUGGGUGACCAAAAAUUUCUGGAUUUACCUCAAAAGUGAAACAGGUUUCCAGAAAUAGGGUCCAGACACUAAAAUCAGCCCUUGUGUGGACAGAAAUGUGUCUAUGAUUUAUUUGCAGAAGACUAAGCCUAAAGAAAGCCCGUUUAAUCCUGUAAUCCGUCACCCAGGUCAGUGAGAGUGACCCAUUUCACAGCGUGACUGUUAGAGGCCACAGCUCAGGUUAAUGCAUAUUCAAGUCCAAAAAAUUAUGUGUCACGGUUAAUGUUGUAUUUUGUUUAUUGAAGUCUGUGGGACCCGAGCAGGAAGCUCACUCACCCUGUACUUCCCAUGAACCUCCUUGUUGAAGCCGUACCUGGAAGAGAAAGAAGUGAGAGUGAAAUCUCUCACCUUGAUCUGAUCCUGCUCUCCUGCGUACUCGAUGGACUGGAAAAUGUUCCACGUGCACCGGCGUCGCAUCUCCAAGCGGGCCACGUACUGCCGGUACCAGCGCUGGAUGAGUAAAGCUGCCCGCAUCGCUGUACAGCUCCAGCUCCGUGGGUUGGGGUUUGGUAGCACCACAUCCCAUGUCCCUUUGCCACAGACAUACACGCCUGAUCAGAGUCCCACACACUGAUCACU